ACAUGUCUGAAUGGUGUCCUUUUGAAUUAUUCUGUAUUCUGAUGGUAACAUUUGAUGAUCUUGGGGUAGCUUAUGGCCCAUUAUUUUAUUAUUGAAUAUUUGAUAUUCACCAUGCAUGCUUUUAGUGUUCCCUGCCUUGUUGGACAUGAACAAUAUCAAGCUGAACAUAGUUGGCUACCUUAUAGUCAGUUUUCCAUCUUGAAAAUUUUGUACCAGUGGAAAGACGGAUUGUAUUAAAAGAAUUCCUAGUCUUUUGGUCUUGUUUUGGGUAUACUUCAAAGACAUUAGAUGCAGUAGAAUUUGGGGAAUUAUUCUCAUGUACAUGCUUUACAAUGAGACUGUUGAUAUGAACAAUCACUAUGCCAAAAAAUGAAUCAGACGACACAUUUCCAACAACAGCGAAAUUUUUAACUGUCGUCUGAUAUAGAAUUAUUCUGUUGUCUAAAUUUUUGAUUCAGUCAACAGUUAUUACAUUGCUGUUGUUCAAUUGUCAUUCAGACAAUGGUUAUAUUUUGAUGUUGUCUGAGUGAGUUAUUUCAGACAACAGUUAUUACAUUGACUGUUGUGCAAUUACUAUUCAGACAAUUGUGGUAUUUUGAUGUUGUCUGUUCAAUCUAAUUCAGACAAUAGUUGUUUUUUGCUGCUUUAUUAUGUUGUAUAACUCUCUUUCAGACAAUGGCUACAGACAACAGUUAUCUAUUGAUACUUUGCUAUUGUGCAAUUUGUAUUUAGACAAUGGUUGAGUUAUGAUGUUGUCUGACUGAUUUUACUCAGACAACAGUUAUUUAGUGCUACUUUAUUCUGUUGUGCAAGUCUCCUUUAGACAAUGACUUCAGACAACAGUUAUUUUUUGUUGCUUUAAUCUGUCGUGCAACUCUCCUUCAGACAAUGGCUAUGAAUUUAUGUUGUCUGAGUUCCACAUUUAGUCAUAACUCAAUUUUUUGACUCCCUCCAUUCCUUUGCCCGCCUAUUUUUUGGCCAAAACUUAAAUUUCCCCCUUUUCACAAAACUCCUCGUUUAAAGAAAUAAAGGGUUCAGAUUCCACCUCUUUCUUCUCUCAGAGGCGCAUUCCACACUUCUCUCUUCUAUCUUUACUUCUUUCUUUCCAAGCUCCACUCCCGCAAUUCCAAAACCCAAUUUUCUCCUCAGUCCCAGACCCUCUACCAGAUGAUGUCCGACGAGCAACAUUGGGAUUCCAAAUUCUCCGAUCGGAAUCUCCACUAGAAAGUCCACAAGCUCCUCGAAUCGGCGCCGUUUCGGAAUCCCAGUUAGGGAGGGCUAGUUUCUGGUGAUGUAAAGCUCACGGUGGUGGCCAAGGACGGGUUUUGUUAACUGCUCCGUUGCAGGGCAACUUCCAUCUCCAGAAGAGUCGCUGCUCUGCUUGUGCAUACCCAGCUGUCCGCACCAGGAAAUUCAAUUGGAGUGUGAAGGCCAUCAGGAGGAAGACCACCGGGACUGGAAGGAUGUGGUAUCUGUGGAAUGUCCCACGCAGGUUUAAGAGUGGUUUCAGGGAAGGUGCUGAUCCUUUUAGUUUUAUACUCCUUGAUGUAUAGUUGUGAGCUAAUCGGUGUAUACGUUGGUUUUAUUUUUUAGAGAUUAAUUGGUUUGUUUGAACAGGUUGGAUUUAGUGAUCUGUGACUUUGGAUCUGGUUGGAAAGCCACUGAUUGCAUAGUGAGAUUACAUCCUCUUUAGAUUAGGAUGUAUUAGGUUCCUACCACAUUGUUAUUGGAGAAGGCUUACUCAAGGAAUUUUUGCCUUCACAGCCUUGUGCUUUCAAAGUAUAAUCCCAACACAUGCUCAAGUGAUUUUGUUUCUUUCUCAUGAAGUCUCCUGCAUCAUAAUUGAUUUGCUGCAGCCUUGGAAUGAUGCUUUUGAUAAUAUAACACACUUUUGAUAAAAAGUGUGCCAUUUUGUCUUGUGCACUUGAUUAAAGCUUCAAACUUAUUCUUUUGCAAUUCCAUCGCCACCACUUUCUUUUUGUUUUACACCAUGACAUGUUGCACCCAAGAAUGCAUAGCUGUCAGAUUUUUGGGAUAAAUUUUAGACUGCCUCUUUGAUUGUUGUGGUCUUCAGCAAAUAUAAAAUUAAUCCCGUGCACUCUAUUUGUAUUGAAACUAAUUGCAAGGAGCAGCUUCUUUUCUUAUUUGUUCUUCAGUAGCAGUAGUAACUUGUGGCUGGAUUUUCUUUGUGAGUUCGGAACAAUGACAGAUGAUUGCAGACUCAACAUAGCUUGUAUUAAUUUUAACAGAAAUGUUUGCUGUGCAGGUACAAGCAAGAGCAGUGAUUGUAAGCACAGUAGUAUCAAAUUGGCCUCGAAGCUUUAUUUUCAUGUGUGCAGAAUAUCAUCUUUUGAGUCUCAUAAGCCUUGAGUUUGAGUGAGUCUUUUGAAUCUUUUAAGAUGGUAUGACAACCACUUAAAUUUGAUACAGUAAAGCACUUCACUCAAAAAACACUCUUGCAGAAAGCACUUCUAUUAAUAUGCAGAAGAAAUCUGACUAUGAAUUCAUCAUGGUGAAAAAAAAGAAAUGGAUGGUCUAGUCUUUGAAGUCUGAGGCUGAUGAUCAGUUCUUCCAAGGCCGUAUUUGUUAGUUGCGAAUCUUCAUAACAAGCUUGGAGAAGGAAAUCAAGAGUAUUGUGUGCAAGAUGAUUGAUAAAAUGGUUCAAUAAGGUUUUGUAGAAGCCAACUGCAAUUGAAGACUAGGUUAUUGCACUAUUGAGCUGUGAUGAUGAGAUUGUGAAUGUUUUGGAUGUUUAAUCAAUGAAUGUAUGUUUUGGA